CCGCCCCCUUCCUACCCCUAGACCAUCUGUUUUGUUCUUACAAACCCCUCAGACCCGUGGAAAACCGAGGCGGACGAGCCCCUCUUCAAAAGAGGGGGUGGGUGGGAUGAUUUAUUUGCUUUUGGUUUUAUUUUUGGUUUUUCCCCCUCUUUUCUGAUGCUCCCAACUGCUUCCACAGACGCGCCAUCGCAGAUGUCUCCCUCCGAAGUUUGAGGUGGCUGAAAUUCCUUGUCCCAUUCCCGGCAACAUCACGAGGAUGAAAGGACGGGCAGAGGCGCCGAACGGUUCAGUUUCCACCCCGUAGCCCUCGGGAUCUAUUGGAAUUCAGCGAGGAAAUUAAUUUAUUGAAGCAUGAAAAUCCCAUACGGAGCCACACAGAAGGGAAAGCUCAUUAAACUAUGCAGCAAUUAGAACACACGCAGAACACUUGAACUUACCUCCAACAUGUUAAUAGGUCCCAGUUCUGAAACAAGAGGAAUAUUUUGCUGCAAGAAUGCAACGGAACAGGAAAGUCUUUCCACCCACUCCUCUCUGGCCAAGCUGAAAGAAUGGGGUUCUUUUAGACUCCAUACUGAUAGUGUUGUAAAAGAGUAAUGGUAAAGAUAAUAAAAGGAGCUACAGAAACAACAAACUGUAAACAGGAAUCCUGAGCAGCUGUCACCCUGCGAGUCAGCUCAUGUUUGGUAACAGGCUUUUCCGGAUCCUGCAUUGCAACGUUACAUUAAUAAGCUGCACAGGGUACUUUCAGGUGAGCCCCAUCAGCAACAGACUGUACUUUAAACUCAGAAGCUAGGAGGGCUUUGUAAAACUACUAGUGAAGAAAUCUUUUUCCUUGUAUGUGAUACACAACUGAAGAGCCUGGAGAUGAUAACGCAGAGCUGUGUUUGCAGCCGUUGUGCACAGCAGACAGAUCGCAGGCACACACACACCUGUACCCCCACUGUGGCUUGUGCUGCACAAUAAGACCACAGGACAGCCGCCGGGGCUGGAAAUGGAGAAAAGCAACACCUGCCUGGUCUGCAAGUUUCACCAGUAACUGGUUUCCUCUUUGAAACUUGGACUUUGCCAUCUAUUUCAUGGGUGUGGAGCUUAAUUGGCACGCACCAUUUCUUGGCUACAAGAGUCUAGCAUGCAAACUCACGCAUGCAAUCCAAGCCCUUGUAAUUAUUUUAUCAUCCACUGACUAGGGAGCCAGUUCCCCGCGUGCGCUGACAAAACCAGGUGCCAAUCCAUUCUCGCCUGAGUUGUUUUGCCUAAUUCUUCUAGUCCAUCCAGCUGCUGGAGGAACAGCUGUCUGGAGUUCAGCCCCUACAGUGGGUAGCUCAUCAAUCAUAGAAUCGUCUAGGUUGAAAGGGACCUUAAAGAUCAUCUAGUCCAAACAUCAACCUAACUCUGACAAAAAAAUAAAUAAGAAAUAAGCAAUAAAAAAAACCCCACUCAACCAUAUUCUUGAGGACCACGUCAACCUGUCUUUUGAACACCUCCAGGGAUGGUGCCUCAACUACUUCCCUGGGCAGCCUAUUCCAAUGCUGCUUAAUGCCUCGGUUACUGUUCUCAGUGGUCCAAAACUUGCACAUCUAAUAGGAAAAGCAGGCAGUCAUUUCCUGUGACAUUUCAUUUCUCAGUUGCAGGCAAACGAACAGAAGAAUUGGUAAGGAAGGUAAUACAAGUUUCACAUGGGAGAGAUGGCAAAAUCUUAAACUUUUGUUGUUAAAUCUUUAUAAGGUCGUUUAAAAUGAACCCUUACCAUUCACUCCUCCAUCUUUUUAAAAGGCAUUUAAUCUUAGAAUGUCAGGUUUUCCUUCAGCUCUGCCCCGGUUUUGGUAAAGUAUGUGUAUCUGAUUUUAAACCUGGUUCUACAGACUCUCAAAAGGAGCCUGGAAGCCUGCUGAGCCUCAGCAGCAGGUUCAUUUACCAGCACACCACAGCGGCUUGUUGCAAAGCUCUUGGGCCUCUGUCUUUCAAUUUCUCCAGCUCCAAAUACUCCUUCGAAGAUCCGGAUGGUUUGUCAUUUGAAGCCGUACCCUAGCAGUUCACUGAAGACUUCCGUGAUCUGGGUUUUGCAGAAUUUCAGGAAACAGAGUCAUUUCAGAUUGACAUCACUACCACGAAACAUCCCCCGUUAAAAACCGGACUAUUCUGAGUGCACUGGGGACACCCUGUGGCAACCUGCUGAACCCUCAAACAGAAAGGGCUUCGAGGUGUUGGUCAUUUGUCUUCCUUCAGCGCCAACGCCUGUCCUCACUUAAGGACCCAGCAAGGUGCUACCUCUGUCGCAAUUUUGGCACAGAGAUCUUUAAGCACCAACAGUAACCAGAAAGACUGGGUUGAAACUAAUUACUAUGGGAAUGGCAAAAAUAUUCCCAUGUAAUUUAAAAGUACCUUUAGAGUGUGUA